UCAGGAUGCGUUUGUUCCCUUUUCCUGAUUCAACUAGGGUGACACAUAUUCAUAAGUGUGGCGAUUGUAUGUUUUACAUUGCAUAACAGAAUUCUGAACAAUGAAUUUCAACUCUAUUAUUAUACUGCUUGGAAUUUCUGUCUCACAGAUUGUGAUGGAGCAAUCAGCUAUUAUUCGGAAUGUGUUUCUCAAUUGGACAGAAGCGAGGAACGCGUGCAGGGACUCGAAAUCGCAUCUUUUAAACUUCUUUGAAAUGAAAAAUAGGCUUGAAUACUUCAAAAAAGAAUUAAUACUAAAUAAAAAGUACUGGGUUGCAGAAACAUGGAUACCAAAAUUAUUUUUUGUGAAAGGUUGUCAAUCGAAAAUCGAAGGAUUGUCAAUGAGAAUAGAUCACGGAAACCUCUUUUCAGAAUGUGUGAAAUAUUGUGAAAGUCAAAACCAUACCACUAUAGGAAUACAGG